rnacentral:rRNA from 2 species
UGGGGAAUAUUGGACAAUGGGCGCAAGCCUGAUCCAGCCAUGCCGCGUGUGUGAAGAAGGCCUUUUGGUUGUAAAGCACUUUAAGCGAGGAGGAGGCUACUUGGAUUAAUACUCUAGGAUAGUGGACAUUACUCGCAGAAUAAGCACCGGCUAACUCUGUGCCAGCAGCCGCGGUAAUACAGAGGGUGCGAGCGUUAAUCGGAUUUACUGGGCGUAAAGCGUGCGUAGGCGGCUUCUUAAGUCGGAUGUGAAAUCCCUGAGCUUAACUUAGGAAUUGCAUUCGAUACUGGGAAGCUAGAGUAUGGGAGAGGAUGGUAGAAUUCCAGGUGUAGCGGUGAAAUGCGUAGAGAUCUGGAGGAAUACCGAUGGCGAAGGCAGCCAUCUGGCCUAAUACUGACGCUGAGGUACGAAAGCAUGGGGAGCAAACAGG